rnacentral:lncRNA from 1 species
CUCAGGUCCUUGCACUUGCAUAGCAGGUGGCGAAACCACUGAGCUAAAUCCCCGGCCCAUACUCUUCCUUCUUGUAUCCCCUUUUUUCCUACACUACUCGAAACUUAUGUUUACCACGUCCAUGAAUUUAUUUAUAUUUUUACGACAUCCACACGCUCACUCAGUGACUCACAGACUUGCUGUGUGGCUUGGGAUGUGGCGUGCAGUGUUACUAUGCACACACCCCUCCCUGAUUUGCUGAUUUUUCACUGCUCUUUCUCUUCGUGACCCUCGGUAGCUUUGUUGUGUGCACCAGUGAAUGAAUCACGUUCACACUGAGCCAUUACAUCACGGUUUAUGUUUUCCAUUCUCCUGAUGAUGGGUGUGUAGUUUGUUUCUGAUUUUCCUCUGCUGAAACCCAUGCUGCGGUAAACACCUCUCCAUACACGUCUGGUAUGCAUGUGGAGAGUUUCUUCAGCAGUGUGUGUAGGAGUGACCUUGCCGGGUCUCUGGGAAGGCGCAUACUUGAGUUUAUUAGAUCAUGCCAAACCAUUUCCUGGGCCACUUGCAUUAAUUUACAUUCCUCCGGCUGCCAGCGAGCCCCGUUGCAGCAUAGCCUCAGCUCCUGUGAUACCGUCAGACUUUUGUUCUUUGCCAAUCUGAUAAAAUUUAAAAGGUCUGUCAUUGCGGUUUUUAUUUGCAUGUCUCUCUUCACUGUGAAGUUAGGCGCUUUAUGUUCCCGACAUAGCACUUACUUCGGUCUGACUUCCUAAACCCGCACCUUUCCGCUUCCCCACCAUCUCCUGAAAUAUGAGUUACUACAGCCCCAGACACCACUUCUUGGUGCUGUCGCCUGGUGGAGAAACACUUCCACGGGCGUCCUGUGGGGCGAAGCAGCAGUGUUCACAGCAAGCCUGCAGCAAAGAUCCGUGACCCCCGUUUUUCAGAUGCGGAAACAGAGCGUCAGAGAAGCUGCCAGGUCCAGAGGACAGCACUGUUCCCGUUUCAGAGGUGGUAACUGAGGUCAGCGACUGAUCAGAGAGGAGCUCUCGUGCUCCAAGACCCACUGGCUUCAGAUUCUGGGCUCUUUUCUCCACUCCUCAAUACCAAGUAUCUUUGGUGGCAAGCAACAGAG